rnacentral:rRNA from 1 species
GACGUAGGGCGCGAGCGUUGUCCGGAUUUAUUGGGCGUAAAGCGUCUGUAGGUGGCUUUUUAAGUCCGCCGUCAAAUCCCAGGGCUCAACCCCUGGACAGGCGGUGGAAACUACCAAGCUGGAGUACGGUAGGGGCAGGAGGGAAUUUCCGGUGGAGCGGUGAAAUGCGUAGAGAUCGGAAAGAACACCAACGGCGAAAGCACUCUGCUGGGCCGACACUGACACUGAGAGACGAAAAGCUAGGGGGAGCGAAUGGG